rnacentral:rRNA from 1 species
CUUUAUGCAUAUCAUGUUGAAUACACCAAUUCUCAUCUGAUCACCGAAGUUAAGCAAUGUUGAGCCUAGUAAGUACUUAGAUGGUUGACCACUUAGGAAACCUAAGUACUGUCAGCA